rnacentral:snoRNA from 1 species
AACCAAUGGUGUGGAGAUUUCUGAAUCAGCAUUUUAAAAUGCUUCCAUGCUUCGUGAAAACUUUCUCCCUCUAAUUGUUUAAACAUGGAAAUUUCUUUUCUUACCU